rnacentral:rRNA from 1 species
GUGGGGAAUAUUGGGCAAUGGGGGCAACCCUGACCCAGCGACGCCGCGUGAGGGAAGACGGCCUUCGGGUUGUAAACCUCUUUUGUACGGGAAGAAGGAAGUGACGGUACUGUACGAAUAAGUCCCGGCUAACUACGUGCCAGCAGCCGCGGUAAUACGUAGGGGACGAGCGUUGUCCGGAAUUACAGGGCGUAAGGGCGCGCAGGCUGUGCUGCAAGUCAGCUGUGAAAUGUCUGGGCUUAACCCGGGCAUGCGGUUGAGACUGCAGUGCUGGAGUGCUGUAGAGGCAAGUGGAAUUCCCAGUGUAGCGGUGAAAUGCGUAGAUAUUGGGAAGAACACCGGUGGCGAAGGCGACUUGCUGGGCAGCAACUGACGCUGAGGCGCGAAAGCCAGGGGAGCAAACGGGAUUAGAAACCCGGGUAGUCC